UCGCCAUCCAGCUCGGCCCUUUCCAGUAGUACCACUUUAUACUGUUAUACCGUAUCACAUUGGAGCUUCCAGAAUAGUAUAUCCCAUUGAGAUUGGAAGGACCACAAGCUUCGAACCACCACCCUGCAGAGAUAAAAGACAGACCAUCCAAGAUGCAGAUGAGUUUGUUUCUUCAUCGACACAAGUUUGGAGAAAUUUACCAAAGGAUCCCCUGAGUUCAUUGGUGCCGUAAGAAGUUCAAAUGUGUUAUAUAUUAAUCCAGACUUCUCCAGCCACCAUUAUUAUGAUAUAUAUAUUUUUAUUUUAUAGCCAGACUCUCAUUCUGACGGCACCCAUUUACUGCAGAGAAUCCAUUAGCGAGCAAGUGGUGCUAAACUUCUCCUACAGAAAAACUGAUCUACAUUUUGGAUUGCCUGAGGGAGGAAUCGCGAACACACUGUGCCAGAGAAAGGACCACACAGCUAGAAACUGCAGGAGAUUGUGUUGGCAUCAAAACAUUUUUGCACCAUAGGUUGCUUGGCUGGUUAAUCCCAAAUGGGCCCAAAACCCUCGAGACCAUGCCAGGAUUCUCAGCGCGCUAAUAAACGCACACUUACCAUAUGAGGUAAACUAGAAAACAAACGUGGGAUUUGGCAAGUUCUAGUUCAGCAAUUUCUCUACCUGUUUACACGCACACAAACACAAUCUGAUACCAUUGCUACAACACUCUCGCAUUCUAUAGCUGUAUUCCAAAUCAUUUAUUUUGAGUUAAAUUUAAUAUUUCUGGUUCUGGUUCAUUCGCUGUAUAAGUAUGCCCACAAGCAAUACUGCAUGUUUAAUUGCAUCCCUUAAGAGAGGUGUGAGAUUUGUUUAACUCGGCAGUUUUCUGGCAAAGCCUCAUGCUUGAAAUGGUUUGCCCUGUUUCUCUUUUGUAGGCAGAUCUGCUCCUGGGAUCGGCAGACCAUAAGCAAUAACGAUGCUGGGAGAAAUGCCGGUUUACCCUAAAUGUAGCUCAUCAUUUUGACUUGUGUACAAAAUCACACAAGCGUCUCCUAUCCCCGGAAAAUGACAAAGACAAGCCAACAAAAAAAAAAAUUAAAUGUAUCAAUAAUGUUCUAAAAAUGUGAUUCACAUUGCAAAUCUAAAUGCAAAUCAAGCCUUAAUCAGAUUCUGUGCUCUGAACAAUUAUAUACUGAACAUAUUCUACUUAAAUGACACA